rnacentral:rRNA from 1 species
UGCUGGGAUGUGAUGGGGAGCGAAAUUUAGUAGCGAAGUAGCUGAUUUCACACUGUCAAGAAAAGUCUCUAUCGAGGUUAAAGGUACCCGUACCGCAAACCGACACAGGUGGGUGAGGAGAGUAUCCUAAGGCCAGCGAGAGAACUGUUGUUAAGGAACUCGGCAAAAUGACCCCGUAACUUAGGGAUAAGGGGUGCCACCAUCAGGUGGCCGCAGAGAAUAGGCCCAAGCGACUGUUUACCAAAAACAUAGGUUUCUGCUAAGUCGCAAGACGAUGUAUAGGAGCUGACGCCUGCCCGGUGCUGGAAGGUUAAGGGGAUCUGUUAGAGCAAUCGAAGCAGUGAACUUAAGCCCCAGUAAACGGCGGCCGUAACUAUAACGGUCCUAAGGUAGCGAAAUUCCUUGUCGGGUAAGUUCCGACCCGCACGAAAGGCGUAACGAUUUGGGCACUGUCUCAACAACAGACGCGGUGAAAUUGUAAUUCCGGUGAAGAUGCCGGAUACCUG